GAUCAUGGCUCAGAUUGAACGCUGGCGGCAUGCCUUACACAUGCAAGUCGAACGGCAGCACGGGAGCAAUCCUGGUGGCGAGUGGCGAACGGGUGAGUAAUAUAUCGGAACGUGCCCAGUCGUGGGGGAUAACGCAGCGAAAGCUGUGCUAAUACCGCAUACGAUCUAUGGAUGAAAGCGGGGGAUCGCAAGACCUCGCGCGAUUGGAGCGGCCGAUAUCAGAUUAGGUAGUUGGUGGGGUAAAAGCCCACCAAGCCGACGAUCUGUAGCUGGUCUGAGAGGACGACCAGCCACACUGGAACUGAGACACGGUCCAGACUCCUACGGGAGGCAGCAGUGGGGAAUUUUGAACAAUGGGCGCAAGCCUGAUCCAGCCAUUCCGCGUGCAGGAUGAAGGCCUUCGGGUUGUAAACUGCUUUUGUACGGAACGAAACGGUCUGCCCUAAUACGGCGGGCUAAUGACGGUACCGUAAGAAUAAGCACCGGCUAACUACGUG
rnacentral:rRNA from 1 species